UACGAGGGGGGCAAGCGUUGUUCGGAAUUAUUGGGCGUAAAGGGUGCGUAGGUGGUUCGGCAAGUCUUGUGUGAAAUCUUCAGGCUCAACCUGAAGUCUGCACAAGAAACUGCCGGGCUUGAGUAUGGGAGAGGUGAGUGGAAUUUCCGGUGUAGCGGUGAAAUGCGUAGAUAUCGGAAGGAACACCUGUGGCGAAAGCGGCUCACUGGACCAUUACUGACGCUGAGGAGCGAAAGCGUGGGGAGCGAACAGG
rnacentral:rRNA from 1 species